GAUGAACGCUGGCGGCGUGCCUAAUAUAUGCAAGUCGAGCGAACGGACGAGAAGCUUGCUUUUCUGAUGUUAGCGGCGGACGGGUGAGUAACACGUGGAUAACCUACCUAUAAGACUGGGAUAACUUCGGGAAACCGGAGCUAAUACCGGAUAAUAUUUUGAACCGCAUGGUUCAAAAGUGAAAGACGGUCUUGCUGUCACUUAUAGAUGGAUCCGCGCUGCAUUAGCUAGUUGGUAAGGUAACGGCUCACCAAGGCUACGAUGCAUAGCCGACGUGAGAGGGUGAUAGGCCACACUGGAACUGAGACACGGUCCAGACUCCUACGGGAGGCAGCAGUAGGGAAUCUUCCGCAAUGGGCGAAAGCCUGACGGAGCGACGCCGCGUGAGUGAUGAAGGUCUUCGGAUCGUAAAACUCUGUUAUUAGGGAAGAACAUAUGUGUAAGUAACUGUGCACAUCUUGACGGUACCUAAUCAGAAAGCCACGGCUAACUACGUG
rnacentral:rRNA from 1 species